GAUGAACGCUGGUGGCGUGCCUAAUACAUGCAAGUCGAGCGAACGGACGAGAAGCUUGCUUCUCUGAUGUUAGCGGCGGACGGGUGAGUAACACGUGGAUAACCUACCUAUAAGACUGGGAUAACUUCGGGAAACCGGAGCUAAUACCGGAUAAUAUUAUGAACCGCAUGGUUCAAAAGUGAAAGACGGUCUUGCUGUCACUUAUAGAUGGAUCCGCGCUGCAUUAGCUAGUUGGUAAGGUAACGGCUUACCAAGGCAACGAUGCAUAGCCGACCUGAGAGGGUGAUCGGCCACACUGGAACUGAGACACGGUCCAGACUCCUACGGGAGGCAGCAGUAGGGAAUCUUCCGCAAUGGGCGAAAGCCUGACGGAGCAACGCCGCGUGAGUGAUGAAGGUCUUCGGAUCGUAAAACUCUGUUAUUAGGGAAGAACAUAUGUGUAAGUAACUGUGCACAUCUUGACGGUACCUAAUCAGAAAGCCACGGCUAACUACGUG
rnacentral:rRNA from 1 species